UACGUAGGGUGCGAGCGUUAAUCGGAAUUACUGGGCGUAAAGCGUGCGCAGGCGGUUUUGUAAGCCAGAUGUGAAAUCCCCGGGCUUAACCUGGGAAUGGCAUUUGGGACUGCAAGGCUCGAGUGCGGCAGAGGAGACUGGAAUUCCUGGUGUAGCAGUGAAAUGCGUAGAUAUCAGGAAGAACACCCGUGGCGAAAGCGGCUCUCUGGAACGGUACUGACGCUGAGACGCGAAAGCGUGGGAGCGAACAGG
rnacentral:rRNA from 1 species